GAUCGCCAGGGAUGGCUUAGUGCUCGAAAGAGAACCGUAACACAGGUGCUGCAUGGCUGUCGCCAGCUCGUGUCGUGAGAUGUUGGGUUAAGUCCCGCAACGAGCGCAACCCUUGUCAUUAGUUGCUACAUUUAGUUGGGCACUCUAAUGAGACUGCCGGUGACAAACCGGAGGAAGGUGGGGAUGACGUCAAGUCCUCAUGGCCCUUAUAGGUAGGGCUACACACGUCAUACAAUGGAUGGUACAGAGGGUCGCCAACCCGCGAGGGGGAGCCAAUCCCAUAAAACCAUUCGUAGUCCGGAUCGCAGUCUGCAACUCGACUGCGUGAAGUCGGAAUCGCUAGUAAUCGCGGAUCAGAAUGUCGCGGUGAAUACGUUCCCGGGUCUUGUACACACCGCCCGUCACACCAUGGGAGCGGGUUCU
rnacentral:rRNA from 1 species